rnacentral:tRNA from 1 species
GCCUUUGUGGUCUAGUAGUUAUGACGCUCGCUUUGCCAGAGAGAGGUCGCAGGUUCGAAUCCCGUCGGAGGCA